rnacentral:lncRNA from 1 species
GUGAAGGCACAGCACGCACGCAGUUUCCUCCUAAUCCUGGAGAUUGAUUUUGAUUUUUCAAUAAAACAGGUGUCAUAUAAACCCGGCGCGUGGAGCGUUCACCCCACGGCGAGAACCCCCGGUUUAACAGAGGCGCUUCGUUCCCGGGGGCUCUCAUCAUCUGUUUGUAGCCGUCUAUCGUUUGGUGAUCGCGUCGUAUCAUUUCGACGCCACUGUCACGCUCCUGCCUGACGUCUCUCUCUCUCUCCACCUGUGUUCGGGAUGAGAGGAACCCAGCGACAGCUACAGUACAGUCAAACUAACCAGUGUGUGCUUGCAGCCUUGUCCGUUGUGGAGUAGGAACCAAAGGUUCUGGAGGUCAUCCACCGUCUCCACCUGCCUCCGCUGCUCCAGGAUGGCGCCGUACGCCUGCCAGCUGCUAUCGCAUCAUCACAACAAUUGGACCGAACGUCUGCGGCUCCUGUCAGCGGGAGACGGUUCCCAUCGCAACCACAUUCCUUAUCUCCAACUCGUCUUUGCGGCGCGAUGACUUGACCCGUUUCCUGGGCGAGAAGCUUCUGCCGACAAAAUGCAUUACGCUCUUGACACGCGGCGGCUUUAGCGUUUGUGCAGCGGCAACACAACAAAGGCCCUCGCACGCAGAUAUACACAAACAAACACUCUUGCUUCCUGUCAGUUCCUUUCCUUUACAGUAAAACCCCUUUGAUGACCCAAUGGAAAAAAGUUCAGCAGGAGCUGGAGCUCUCUGAACCUCUGUUCAGUGUGAAAUUUCUAUGCCGGUGUUUCCCUGGCAACCAGAAGGACAAUUACAUGCAUACCGACACAUGCAGGUUGUGUGUGUGUGCGCGUGUGCUGGCGUGCGCGUGGUUUGCAUAUGCAUUUACGCGUGGCACAGAUUAGAAGCAAUAAUGAAUGUGCGAUGCUUGUGCUCAGUUGUGUCAUUUUCUGAAUGUACAGCGUGUCCUUGAGUAAGUCUGAGCAGGUAGGAACGGUGGAAACACUGAGCUGUCAGUGAGUGACAGUGAUGUUGCCGUGGAGAUGAUGAAAGGAGGAAGAAUACGGGGGAAGAGACUCGGCCGCGCUGCGAUUCAUGCAGUGGUUGCGAUUAACAUACAGCGAGAGGAAGAG